AGAGUUUGAUCCUGGCUCAGGACGAACGCUGGCGGCAUGCCUAACACAUGCAAGUCGAACGAGAAAGUUCCUUCGGGAGCGAUUAAAGUGGCGCACGGGUGAGUAACGCGUAGACAAUCUGCCCUUCAGUCCGGGACAACUUUUCGAAAGAAGAGCUAAUACCGGAUAACAAUGUUUAACCUAAGUUAAGUAUUUGAAAGCUUUAUGUGCUGAAGGAGGGGUCUGCGUCCCAUUAGCUAGUUGGUAAGGUAAAGGCUUACCAAGGCAACGAUGGGUAGCGGGUUUGAGAGGACGAUCCGCCACACUGGAACUGAGACACGGUCCAGACUCCUACGGGAGGCAGCAGUGGGGAAUAUUGCACAAUGGAGGCAACUCUGAUGCAGCAAUGUCGCGUGAGUGAAGAAGGCCCUUGGGUCGUAAAGCUCUUUUAUGGGGGAAGAUGAUGACGGUACCCCAAGAAUAAGCACCGGCUAACUAUGUGCCAGCAGCCGCGGUAAUACAUAGGGUGCGAGCGUUGUUCGGAAUUACUGGGCGUAAAGGGCGCGCAGGCGGAAUAGUAAGUCGGAGGUGAAAGCCCGGGGCUCAACCCCGGAGGGUCUUUCGAAACUGCUAAUCUAGAGAGGGUCAGGGGCCGGCAGAAUUCCUGG
rnacentral:rRNA from 1 species